CACGUAGGGUCCGAGCGUUGUCCGGAAUUAUUGGACGUAAAGGGCUCGUAGGCGGUUCGUCACGUCGGGAGUGAAAACUCGGAGCUUAACUCCGAGCCUGCUUCCGAUACGGGCAGACUAGAGGUAGGCAGGGGAGAGCGGAACUCCUGGUGUAGCGGUGGAAUGCGCAGAUAUCAGGAAGAACACCGGUGGCGAAGGCGGCUCUCUGGGCCUUACCUGACGCUGAGGAGCGAAAGCUGGGGGAGCGAACAGG
rnacentral:rRNA from 1 species